GGAGGAUCUUGGAAAAACCACCAUAGCCAUGCUCAAAAUGGAGGCCCUAUCUAAGCUUUUAAGUAGAAAGUGCUUCCAUUUUGUGUGUUGCUGUGUGGAAGAAGGCAUCCGGGACUUC
rnacentral:pre_miRNA from 14 species